CAGGUCCGGGAGCAGUACAGGAAGUGGUUCAGAGGGGUCAGGAAAGCCAAAGCCGAGCCUGAGAAUUACACGCUCUCAAGCAGGACCAUGUCUGAUGCCUCCAAGCACAGUGCGGAGAAUUAUAAUGAACAGCUAACCCUGGUGAACUUGUCUCUUAGAAAGUGAAGAAAACACUGAAUCGUCCUCUUUGGGGCAAAGAGUAUUAAAAAUAACUCUCCUUGGCACCACUGUGGGAGAAAAGUAUGCGGGAAACGUGUGUCAUUCACCUGCUGGCGAAUUUGGGUUUUCUGGUACAUACAAGCAUUCUCAUCAUCUCCUUCCCAGUAUAAUCAGGAGCUCUAACCCAAUACCCCAGUAGAAACCUCUUUUUCCAAAAAGAUUCUUCCUCAGGUUGAUGAUACAUAACAAGGAAAACCAGCCUCAAAGGACUUCCCUAAAAUAACACAGGAGAGGAAAGUAAUAUUCAAAUACCUGCCUGUUGAAUAAACAACUAAUGCCAGUUGCCCAAGACUUGCCUGAUUUUAGAGCUGACAGUAUUUCUCCCCAGGAAACAUUUUGGUUACAGGCAAAGUAGACCAGUUGGUCUCCAUUCAUACAUACAUGCCUCAACUUAACUCACUCUCCAUUCCUGAAGCCCUACUGAUUAAUUCCUUCCAAACAUGUGCACUGGAUCAAGGAGAUCCAGUUCCCGAGUUCACAGAGUUUCAAUGUGGGGAAAAAAAAGUUUCAUCCGAUGGAGUAAAAUCAGAACUAUGAGACUCGAGUCUCUGCAUCUUUACAUUUUAUAAGUUGAGCUGUGGGGAAAGGUGUAUAUUGCUACAGCACAUUUAUACGUAACAUAAUAUUUCAUCCUUACCAUUCAUCUAGGCAAGAUCUAAACCCAGAGUGGUUCCCCCUCCAAGACAUUCCCUGGAGGCUCCCACUGACCAAUUUUGUAACAAUUUGAACAUCAAAUGACUGUACAUGAGUAUAAUAUUUUAGAUAAACAUAUUCAUGAGUCCAUAGUGAUACUUAGAAGCUCAGUUAAUAGAUGCAGAAAAUUCGAUAGAAUUAGAAGAGCAUGAUUCUUUCAAUAUCCCAUAAAUAGUCACUAAAAGCAUUGAGUGAAAGGGUGUUGGAGAACAGGCUGGGACCAGAGCACCAAAGAAUCACCUCUUGGAUCACCGAUUAAUUACAAGGGCCAAAGUGCACAUUUGCAACGUGGAGAUCUGACAGCCACCAUCUGAAUUAAUGCCCAUACUUAAUAUCAUCGAUGGUGGGCAAACUGACAUUAGGAAUAUCAGGAGAUACAUACAUCCCAUUGUUGAAGUUACAACAUCCCAUUUUUAGUACAUAAAAAAUUGAAAUCUAACCCAGCCUUUAGAGAGAGGGUAACCAAACUAUAGCAUACAGGCCAAAUCCAGGGAACUUCCUGUUUUUGUUAAUAAAGUUUUAUUGGAACAUUGA